UCAUAAAUUAAAGCGCCUGGACUAUUUUCAGAACGCAAUGAAAAUAGUUGACGAGGAGGAGGUUCAUCGAUGAUCGGCGGAUGCCUCCCGGUUGAUAACACCUCAACCGAGACGUUUUGAUCUUAAAACAAAGGGGUGACUCUUUGCACAAAAGAUGGAAACAAGGUGUUA
rnacentral:ncRNA from 2 species